UUUGAUAAGACGAACAGUUACAAUCAACUACUGCAAAGUCAGUCUUGCAAACAAACAAUCCAUAACCAGGAACUCAAGAAGUGCAGCAACGCCAAGGCAGUUUUUACAGAAAGCAACGCACAGUUUAUAUGGUAAUUAAUCAAAGCAAGCUUAACAAGAGUUCGCUUAUCGUUAUUAAGACACGUAGAUAUGAUAAUAAACAAGGUUCAAGCUAUAAAAAGGUCAAACGUCAACCGUAGCAUCUGAUGGGAUCAUUGCAGCCCUUUUCAGCAGACUGCUUGGAGCCUCUGCCACUACCCUUUUCAAGAUACUGCUGAUGGUACUCCUCGGCUCUGUAAAAUCUCUUCGCAGGAAGAAUCUCUGUUACAAUCUUCCUCUGAUCCUUCAUCUCCAACUGCUUUGCUUCCAUUGACUCUCGGGCUAAACGAGCCUGUGUCUCAUUGUAAUAGUAUAUCCCUGAUCUGUACUGUGUCCCCACGUCACCUCCCUGGCGAUUGAGCGUGGUGGGGUCAUGGCGGCCCCAGAAAACGGAGAGCAGAUUGGUGUAGGGGCAAACUUGCGGGUCAAACUGGACCCGAACAACCUCCACGUGAUUGGUGGUUCCGGAGCAAACGAGUCUGUAGUUGGGAUCAGGGACGUUGCCUUGUGAAUACCCCACUUCAGUCUUGGAUACGCCCACCACACGCUGAAACGCCAGCUCCACUCCCCAGAAGCACCCGGCUCCGAAUUGGGCGAACUCGUGACCCGGAUUGUCCGGUUGGUCCAGAUCCGGACCCACAGCUGGAUUCGUCGUGCUGUUAUCUCCGGUGGCGGCCAUUUCCCCAAUUCCCGCAACUGCAGGCUCCUCUAACUAACUGGCGCUGAAAAAGUAAACGGCUGUAGCUAGUGCCAGCGUACAAAAGAGUAGAUAGUUGUAAGAGUUUGUCAAUCAUUCAUUAUAUUAACCGUCAACCGGUGAAUGUAGCGACGAUCAUGGCCACAUACAAACGUCUUAAUUGAUUGUCUAAUCCUAACAAGUGGUGGCAAUGCUAUUAACAAACCGUAAAAAAUUAAAUUAUCAAAUUCGUCCGUAAUAUGAAACGCUUUGGAUUUCGACAGUUACCAAAAUGAUCAAUAAUUCGUAAUAAUUUUUUAACGGAUUUUUUCAUUUAAAAUCAUAAAUAUUAAAAAUAUAUAUUUAAUAAUAUAUACAAAAAUUAAAUUAUAUAAUUUAAACUAUAAAUUUAUAGUAACAACUUAAAAUAAUCUACAUACAAUAAUCAAUUUUUAGAUUUUAUAAAUAUAAAUUAAAAAAAAAAUAAAUUUUCAACAUUAAGACAAAUACACAAAAUAUAUUAAUUUAAAACAAAAUAUUUUUAUUGUAAGCAAAUCAUCAUUGUUAAUAUCAAUGCCUUACUCUAUCUUUUGAUCAAUAUACAAAUAUUAUCAGUAGUAUUAACAACUAAGUUUUGUACAAUUAUUACUAACAAUUAAUUAAACAAAUAAAAGUCUAACUUUAGUAAUCAAUCAUUAGGUUUAAGCCAUUAAAGAAAAACAAACAAAAUCAAUCAAUUAAAACAAAAAUAUCAAUAAUAUUAAACUUAAAAAUUAUAAUUUUUUUAGUUAUUAAAAGAUUAUUUUGUGUGUGUGUGUCACACACACACUCUCUCUAUAGAAUUAUAGACUAUAUAUACAUACUUUUUUUUUAAUACGUACACGUUUUUAAGCCAUGCAGUUUAAUAAAGUCAGUUUUUAAUAUCAUCACGACUUAACAACUUGUCUACAUUUAAAAAAUGAGAGUGUCUGUACUUGAGAAUAUAUAUAUAACAUAAGGAAAUAGGAUCGAAGGAUGGAUGUAUUUUAUGAGAGAAAUUAUAAACAAAGAAAUCAAUUUGCGAUUGUGAGUUCUUUUUAUUUGGGCUAUGGAAAAACACUUUUCAAAACCAAGUACAGGAUAUUAAAGAAUUCAUGGGGAGCCAAACUGGGAGAGAAAGGUCACACAAGAAAGAGGGACCGUGUGGAAUUGCUACGGAGGCUUGGUGGCCCAUCAAAAAAUUCCUCGUCAAACCCUGCACGACCUUCAGAUUCUCUUAAAAAUGAACUCACUCUAAACAACGUUCACUAUUAUCCUUAGCUUUGCUACGCAUCUCAGCCGACUAAUGCUUUGAUAAGACGAACAGUUACAAUCAACUACUGCAAAGUCAGUCUUGCAAACAAACAAUCCAUAACCAGGAACUCAAGAAGUGCAGCAACGCCAAGGCAGUUUUUACAGAAAGCAACGCACAGUUUAUAUGGUAAUUAAUCAAAGCAAGCUUAACAAGAGUUCGCUUAUCGUUAUUAAGACACGUAGAUAUGAUAAUAAACAAGGUUCAAGCUAUAAAAAGGUCAAACGUCAACCGUAGCAUCUGAUGGGAUCAUUGCAGCCCUUUUCAGCAGACUGCUUGGAGCCUCUGCCACUACCCUUUUCAAGAUACUGCUGAUGGUACUCCUCGGCUCUGUAAAAUCUCUUCGCAGGAAGAAUCUCUGUUACAAUCUUCCUCUGAUCCUUCAUCUCCAACUGCUUUGCUUCCAUUGACUCUCGGGCUAAACGAGCCUGUGUCUCAUUGUAAUAGUAUAUCCCUGAUCUGU
rnacentral:lncRNA from 1 species